GACGAACGCUGGCGGCGUGCCUAACACAUGCAAGUCGAACGAGAAUCUUAUGUGUGAUCCCUUCGGGGUGAACUUUUAAGAGGAAAGUGGCGGACGGGCGAGUAACGCGUGAGUAACCUGCCCAUAAGAGGGGGAUAAUCCAUGGAAACGUGGACUAAUACCGCAUAUUGAAUAUUUACCGCAUGGUAGAUAUUUGAAAGAUUUAUCGCUUAUGGAUGGACUCGCGUCAGAUUAGCUGGUUGGUGAGGUAAUGGCUCACCAAGGCGACGAUCUGUAGCCGAACUGAGAGGUUGAUCGGCCGCAUUGGGACUGAGACACGGCCCAG
rnacentral:rRNA from 1 species